rnacentral:rRNA from 1 species
UYUUAUAAAUUAAGACUGGAAUGAAUGGAUGAAUGGGGCAAUACUUUCUUAAAUUAAUAAUUAAAAAUAUUCUUUUUAGUGAAGAGACUAAAAUGAUGAUGAGGGACGAGAAGACCCUAUUAAGCUUAAUAAAAUUAUUUUGUUGGGGAAACAGAAGAAAAAAAUUUCUUUUAGUUUAUAAGUUGAUAAAUUUUGAUUUAUUAUUAAUAAUAAUAGAAUAAGUUACUAUAGGGAUAACAGCAUAAUUUUUUUUAAAAGUUCUUAUUUACAAAAAAGAUUAUGACCUCGAUGUUGGAUUAAAUUUAUUAUAUGAUGUAGUUGUUGUAUAAAUUAGUCUGUUCGACUAUUAAAUUUUUA